CUACGGGCCGCUCCAGUGAGGAAUAUUGCACAAUGGGGGGAACCCUGAUGCAGCAACGCCGCGUGGAGGAUGACGCAUUUCGGUGUGUAAACUCCUCUUAUAUGUCAAGAAAAUGACGGUAGCAUAUGAAUAAGCACCGGCUAACUCCGUGCCAGCAGCCGCGGUAAUACGAAGGGUGCAAGCGUUACUCGGAAUCACUGGGCGUAAAGGACGCGUAGGCGGGUUGGAAAGUCAGGUGUGAAAUCCUACAGCUUAACUGUAGAACUGCACUUGAAACUUCUAAUCUAGAGUAUGGGAGGGGGAGAUGGAAUUAGUGGUGUAGGGGUAAAAUCCGUAGAUAUCACUAGGAAUACCUAAAGCGAAGGCGAUCUCCUGGAACAUUACUGACGCUAAGGCGUGAAAGCGUGGGGAGCAAACAGGAUUAGAUACCCCUGUAGUC
rnacentral:rRNA from 1 species